AAUAAACAGACCGCAACAAGAAGAACUAAAUAGCAUCAACACUGCCAUUUAGUAGCG
rnacentral:misc_RNA from 1 species